rnacentral:tRNA from 1 species
GCCUUCGUGGUGUAGUGGUCAGCAUGCUCGACGCGUAACCGAGAGUUCCGUGGUUCGAUUCCCUGCGAAGGUG